UACGUAGGGCGCAAGCGUUGUCCGGAUUUAUUGGGCGUAAAGAGCUCGUAGGCGGUUUGUCGCGUCUUCCGUGAAAACUGGGGGCUUAACUUCCAGCUUGCGGUCGAUACGGGCAGGCUAGAGUUCGGUAGGGGAGACUGGAAUUCCUGGUGUAGCGGUGAAAUGCGCAGAUAUCAGGAGGAACACCGGUGGCGAAGGCGGGUCUCUGGGCCGAUACUGACGCUGAGGAGCGAAAGCGUGGGGAGCGAACAGG
rnacentral:rRNA from 1 species